GAUGAACGCUGGCGGCGUGCCUAAUACAUGCAAGUCGAACGCAGUGGGGACGGGUGAGUAACACGUGGGUAACCUCCCAUCAGAGGGGAUAACACUUUGAAACAGGUGCUAAACCGAUACUGAUGGAUGGACCCGCGGUGCAUUAGCUAGUUGGUGAGGUAACGGCUCACCAAGGCCACGAUGCAUAGCCGCCCUGAGAGGGGGAUAGGCCACACGCGUAUUGAGAUACGGCCCAGACUCCUCCGGGAGGCAGCAGUAGGGAAUCUUCGGCAAUGGACGAAAGUCUGACCGAGCAACGCCGCGUGAGUGAAGAAGGUUUUCGGAUCGUAAAACUCUGUUGUUAGAGAAGCGGUAUCUAACCAGAAAGCCACGGCUAACUACGUGCCAGCAGCCGCGGUAAUUC
rnacentral:rRNA from 1 species